rnacentral:ribozyme from 1 species
UUUUUUUUUUUUUUUUUUUUUUUUUUUUUCUUC